rnacentral:rRNA from 1 species
UCGUACCUACGGGAGGCAGCAGUGAGGAAUAUUGGUCAAUGGGCGGAAGCCUGAACCAGCCAAGUCGCGUGAGGGAAGAAGGCCCUGCGGGUCGCAGACCUCUUUGGACGGGGAGCAAGGCCGCCGACGUGUCGGCGGAAGGAGAGUACCCGUAGAACAAGCAUCGGCUAACUCCGUGCCAGCAGCCGCGGUAAUACGGAGGAUGCGAGCGUUAUUCGGAUUUAUUGGGUUUAAAGGGUGCGUAGGCGGAUUAGUAAGUCAGCGGUAAAAAUGCGGUGCUCAACGCCGUAUCGCCGUUGAAACUG